rnacentral:rRNA from 1 species
UACGAAGGUGGCAAGCGUUGUUCGGAUUUACUGGGCGUACAGGGAGCGUAGGCGGUUGGAUAAGCCCUCCGUGAAAUCUCCAGGCUUAACCUGGAAAGUGCAGAGGGGACUGUUCAGCUAGAGGAUGGGAGAGGAGCGCGGAAUUCCCGGUGUAGCGGUGAAAUGCGUAGAGAGUCGGGAGGAAGGCCGGUGGCGAAGGCGGCGCUCUGGAACAUUUCUGACGGCUGAGGCUCGAAAAGCGUGGGGGA